rnacentral:SRP_RNA from 1 species
GCCGGGCGUUGUGGCGGGCGCCUGUAGUCCCAACUACUUGGGAGGCUGAGGCAAGAGAAUCGCUUAAGCCCAAGAGUUUGAGGUUGCUGUGAGCUGUGACGCCACGGCACUCUGCCCAGGGCGACAUAGACUCUGUCUCAAAAAAAAAAAAAAAGCUUGCGUCGGGGAAGAAAAAUAAUAUGCUAUGUGGUAGGGUCUGGCGUUUUGUGACUUGUACUCUUUAAUGCGCUUGAAUUUUUUUUUUUUUUUAAGUUUGAGGCAGAGUCUUACUUUCUUGCCCUGGUACAGGGCCGUGGCGUCGUAGCUCAUAGCAGCCUCAAACUCCUGGGCUUAAGCGAUCCCCUUGCCUCAU